rnacentral:rRNA from 1 species
UACGUAGGGUGCGAGCGUUAAUCGGAAUUACUGGGCGUAAAGCGUGCGCAGGCGGUUUGUUAAGACAGAUGUGAAAUCCCCGGGCUUAACCUGGGAACUGCAUUUGUGACUGGCAAGCUAGAGUAUGGCAGAGGGGGGUAGAAUUCCACGUGUAGCAGUGAAAUGCGUAGAGAUGUGGAGGAAUACCGAUGGCGAAGGCAGCCCCCUGGGCCAAUACUGACGCUCAUGCACGAA